UGGGGAUUAGCCAAGCGGUAAGGCAACGGACUUUGACUCCGUCACUCCUAGGUUCGAAUCCUUGAUCCCCAGCCA
rnacentral:tRNA from 1 species